GGGUAUUUCCUUCCAAAGCAGAACGGAAAAUCACAUCUCGUCCUUUCACCAGGUUCCGCACGGCCGUCAGGGUGGUCAUUGCAAUAUUAAGAUUACGUUUUUUGGUUAAGAAAUGGCAAGAAGUAGAUCGGAAAGGAGCUCUGGCACAAGGCAAAGCCCCUCGCCCAGGUGGGACUCCAGCUGCUGUUGACCGCUGGACUCACAAACCUUUCUUUCUACUCUUGUUUUUCAUUCACUUUGGGUCAUUUUUCAGUGUUGAUGGGGACGUAAUAAAGCACGGUAAGAAAAUCCGUGAAUUCCGUCAGAGCAGUCGUCCAGAGGGAAGGCGCGCCCGGCGUAGGGAGGUCAGAGCUCAUGUUAGCUAUGAACACAGGUCACAGGGGCGUACGGCGAUGGGAAACACUGAGAUGCUCAAUAUAUUGAUUAUUUAAUAGUGUUUAGCAAAAUGGUCUUUUUUUAUUCCUUAAAUCAACUGAAACUCACUUCACGUCUCUUUCCUUGUAGAGCAUCAUGCUUAUUUCUGGCUCACUCACAUCUUUGUCUCGGGAGUUCUCUGCCGAGCCAUUGCCCCCUACAGCAGAGAGCACAGCUGGCUGCACUAGUGCUGAAGGAGCCAGCCCCAGAGCAGGGCAUUUCCAGGGGCUCUUGUCCCAGAGCGGCAGGCGUUGUGUGCAGAGAACGCCCCUCCCACGCAGCACAGAGAACGCGGGGUGGGUGUGUGGCUCCGGGCCUGUGGGGCUUAGGCUGCCUGAACCACCGCCGACUGG
rnacentral:lncRNA from 1 species